ACUGCUCAGUAACACGUGGACAACUUACCCUUGGGACCGGGAUAACCCCUGGGAAACUGGGGCUAAUACCGGAUAGAGCAUCGGUUGCUGGAAUGUACGAUGGUCUAAAGCUGAGGCGCCCAAGGAUAGGUCUGCGGCCGAUUAGGUUGUUGUUGAUGUAACGGAUCAACAAGCCUACGAUCGGUACGGGUUGUGAGAGCAAUAGCCCGGAGAUGGGUUCUGAGAGAAGAACCCAGGUCCUACGGGACGCAUCAGGCGCGAAAACUUUACAAUGUGCGAAAGCACGAUAAGGGAACUCUGAGUGCCUCCUAAGGAGGCUGUUCGGGUGUCUAAAAAGCAUCUGAAGGAAGGGCUGGGUAAGACCGGUGCCAGCCGCCGCGGUAACACCGGCAGCCCAAGUGGUAGCCACGCUUAUUGGGUCUAAAGCGUCCGUAGCCGGCCAAGUAAGUUCUUUGGGAAAUUUGACCGCUUAACGGUCAAGCUAUCAGGGAAUACUGCUUGGCUUGGGACCGGGAGAGGUCAGAGGUACUCCAAGGGUAGGGGUGAAAUCCGUUAAUCCUUGGGGGACCACCGGUAGCGAAGGCGUCUGACCAGACCGGGUCCGACGGUGAGGGACGAAGGCUAGGGUCGCGAACCGGAUUAGAUACCCGGGUAGUCCUAGCUGUAAACGAUGCGGGCCAGGUGUUGGCAUUACUGCGAGUGAUGCCAGUGCCGAAGGGAAGCCGUUAAGCCCGCCAUCUGGGGAGUACGGCCGCAAGGCUGAAACUUAAAGGAAUUGGCGGGGGAGCACCACAACGGGUGGAGCUUGCGGUUCAAUUGGAGUCAACGCCGGG
rnacentral:rRNA from 1 species